UCUCUUUAGUAGUUAGUGUCUUUUUAACUUUCUUCAGUGGUUGAAUAUACUCAGAUUUAUAUUUAUUUCCCAUUAAUUAGAUGGUAAAAGAUAAAGCUUUCAAUGAAUUGUUACCAGUGUGUCCUGUUUGCAGGCAGUGGAAAUCAGAAAACACUGUUUCUGAAAGCUUCUGUCACUCAAGAAUCCAUGAAACAUUCAUGAACUUCACAUCAGAUAGAAAAUAUGGAACAACUGUUGGAGGAAGAAUAGAGAAGAGAGUUAAAGAUUGUCCCACAGGAGAAAUGCAUGAAAAAAAUUGGAAAAGAGAUAUUGAAUUCCAUCCUAAUUGUAGUGUUUUCUGGAGCAGAUCAAUUUCAGAAAGAGAACAUUGA
rnacentral:lncRNA from 1 species